rnacentral:lncRNA from 1 species
GACCUAGAUGAUUCUGAUCCCUUCUUCUCCAAAGGGCCAGAAAUAAUCAGCAGCACAGGGUGUGAGAUCUACUGGAAAGAUGGUAAAGACCUCACCCUGAAAACCCUGAAGCUGCAGAAAUGUGAGGGCCCUGAAGGUGUCGCACCAACCUCUAGGAAGGUGCCCAGCUAUUCUUUCUUCACCUACUUCUCUCCUCCCUGGGGGUAGAGUACUGGAUGUGGCUACUGAGUAUAAAUUGGGUUAUUUUUUUCCGUGAAGUUCCGGUCCCAAAGUCUGUAUUAUACUUCACAAAAGAAGCGAGUGAUUAUCAAUAUGAAGAGUCUGAUGAGGAGGUCCAAGAAGCUGAAGGUGAGGAGGAGGACAGCGAUAAAAAACCAGAAGGACCUGGAAAGGACCUGGACCCAGCAGAGGACAGCCCGGGAGAACCCAGCUGUCAAGCAUAGAAAGACAUGAUGGAGGAAGAAACAGUGGACGUGUCCCGCACGAAUUUGAGAUUUUCGGCUUCUCAGUAGCCAGUGGGAAUUUUAUCAACAUUGGUUUUGUUCCAGAUUUCAUCAUGUGAAAUGUCUUAUCCACUGACAUCUGACUUUUUUUCUUACAUUUGUCAGAUAUAUUUGACUGCGUUUGUUCAUGAUAAAAAUAAAAAUUUGCUAG